rnacentral:rRNA from 1 species
AGCUGAGUUUGAUCCUGGCUCAGGACGAACGCUGGCGGCAUGCCUUACACAUGCAAGUCGAACGGCAGCACGGGUGCUUGCACCUGGUGUCGAGUGGCGGAACGGGGUGAGUAAAUACAUCGGAACGUACCUUAUCGUGGGGGAUAACGGCAGUCGAAAGUUGCGCCAAUACCGCAUACGCCCGUGAGGGGGAAAGCGGGGGACCGUAAGGCCUCGCGCGAUUAGAGCGGCCGAUGUCUGAUUAGCUUGUUGGUAAGGUAAUGGCUUACCAAGGCGACGAUCAGUAUCUGGUUUGAGAGGACGAUCAGACACACGUGGAACUGAGA